rnacentral:lncRNA from 1 species
CCCAAACCAGCAGACAUGGAAAAGGACCCAAGCCCCAGGUGAAUACCUCAAGAUAACACCUUGAUUUCAGCCAGGAAACUAUGCACUUGGAUUGAUGGACUUCCCAGUGUUGACAGUCAAA